AGCUUUGUGCAGUGGCAGUAUCGUAGCCAAUGAGGUUAAUCCGAGGCAAGAUUAUUGCUAAUUGAAAACUUUUCCCAAUACUUUUCCCAUGACGACUUGAAAUAUAGUCGGCAAUGGCAAGGAAAAUAAAAAG